GGUUAAUACAAGUCUGACAACCAGUAAUGAAUUGUAGAUGUUCAAGAAAUUUAUAAUUCCAUUUGCAACAACAAUUCCUGCAACUGAGUCACCAGGCAAGACAGCUGCAAAAUUGUGAUGGGACAGAUUACCCAUGUUCUGGUAAGUCCUGCACUGUACCUGAGAGAAAUGUGAAGAGAAGUUCAUGAUUUUGUUGAAAAGGGGUUGAGAGGCAAGAAAAGAAUGCAGCAAGGUGAAGCAUUUCUCAGCUGUGGAGAGUAAGGAGUUGUGAAAAUGAAGAAAGGGAUUUGAUGAAGUUUGUGCCAACUGUAGAUUUGAUUUUGGGAGUUGUUUGAAGAAUGGAGGGGUUGAGAAUGAGAAAGGUAGUGAAAUUAAACAGUUUGACACUACAG
rnacentral:misc_RNA from 1 species